AUACCUUUCUCGGCCUUUUGGCUAAGAUCAAGUGUAGUAUCUGUUCUUAUCAGUUUAAUAUCUGAUACGUGGGCCAAUGGUCCACAUGAUAUUAAAUUAAUUUUUUCUAGGGAAGAGCUCGUUACAAUAGCUUGCUAUUGGAGUUCUUGAGCGUCGCCCUUGCGUUGCACUACUGCAAGGGCCUGGCGCACCCCAC
rnacentral:snRNA from 1 species